CAGCAGCCGCGGGAAUACAGAGGGUGCAAGCGUUAAUCGGAAUUACUGGGCGUAAAGCGCGCGUAGGUGGUUUGUUAAGUUGGAUGUGAAAUCCCCGGGCUCAACCUGGGAGCUGCAUCCAAAACUGGCAAGCUAGAGUAUGGUAGAGGGUGGUGGAAUUUCCUGUGUAGCGGUGAAAUGCGUAGAUAUAGGAAGGAACACCAGUGGCGAAGGCGACCACCUGGACUGAUACUGACACUGAGGUGCGAAAGCGUGGGGAGCAAACAGGAUUAGAUACCCGUGUAGUCCCUGUCUCUUAUAC
rnacentral:rRNA from 1 species